rnacentral:rRNA from 1 species
AUGAACGCUGGCGGCGUGUCUAAGGCAUGCAAGUCGAACGAGUGUCGUCGCAAGACGACGCUAGUGGCAAACGGGAGCGUAACACAUUGGUAACCUGCCCCGAAGACGCGAAUAACCUGCCGAAAGGCGGACUAAUCCGCGAUAUUGAUGCGAAGGCGCAAGCCAUUGCAUUGAAAGCCGCAAGGCGCUUCGGGAGGGACCUAUGCCCUAUCAGCUAGUUGGUGAGGUAAUGGCUCACCAAGGCUACGACGGGUAGCGGGCGUGAGAGCGCGACCCGCCUCAGUGGAACUGAGACACUGUCCACACUCCUACGGGAGGCUGCAGUCAAGAAUCUUCCCCAAUGGACGAAAGUCUGAGGGAGCGACGCCGCGUGCGGGAUGAAGCCCUUCGGGGUGUAAACUGCUUUUAUCAGGGACGAAGCUUCGGCUGACGGUACCUGGUGAAUAAGAGGUUGCUAACUCUGU